rnacentral:lncRNA from 1 species
CUUUACGUGCUAUAUGAUACUCAAUAGUAUAAUUUGAACCAUCAGCUAGUAGUAAGUCGAAAACCUGCUUUAUUGAUACGCUUUCUUUAACGUACACAAUGAGAGAAGCCUUCGAUACAACGAACCAAAAAUCACGUUGAUGACAUGAACCUCGAACCGGCAAUUGAGCCUCGAAUGGACAUCGACGACUUCAAACCAACCUCGGCUUAAAACUGUUUCGCGUGAUUUUUCGAGAAGAGUAGCAGGCUGGUUUCUGGUGCGCUGUCGUAAAUGGGAAGAAGCAGAAGAAGCGACUGGGUUUAUCUUUGCCGAGUUUCGGCAGUAAAGAGAUGGCACCGGCUGCUUCUAUCUCCGGCGAGUUCCAGGUGGUGUGAGAGGUGUGUGUAGCUGGAAGUUCUAAGUCGCAGAGAAGAUGAAGAAAGGUUCUAUUUUGUCCGCCGCUGCUAGCUCUUAGGAAUAGGGUUUCGUUAUCUUUUUUUGUGUCUAUUGGGUGUUAGGUGUUACUCCUUAGAUCUAAUGUUUUAAUGGAGAAGAAGAUGGGGGAGGUCGUUUUUUGGAGUUGCUGCUAGAGAUCCUUAGGCAUUAGGUGAAGAAGAUGAAGUCGGGGGGGGGGGGGGAGGGAGGGUCCUUGUGUUCAAAUGGCUGUAGCUUCAGAUCUCUAGGUGUGUUAUGGUUGGAAACGAAAAUGGAGAGGGAUGAAGGGUUUCUCCUCCAUUUUGGUGUUCCCACAAGAAGAAGAUGAAAGGGGAGCGGGGUCUAUGGGUGUA